CGCUUGGCGUGCAAGGUGCAAUGCGCGCGGAGGAGGAGACGACACGGUCAUCCAGAUCUGGAGGCCCAAGUUCAAGGGCAUGGAAAAGAAAGGACUAAGCUGGAUGGAGCGCGAGCUGCGGGAGCUCUACACCUCCAUGAAGCCAAGAAGCUGAAGUAGUGAAGCGACACCGUCCCUGACCAGCCACAUCUUCCUGUUGUGCGCUUUUUCACUGCUUUGUGCUAGUCUUGCCCGAACCCCUCGCUAUCGUAUGUUUUUGGCGAAGUUGUAUGCCGCAGCAUGUAUGAUCGUUAAGUGUGAA